CAGCAGCCGCGGUAAUACAGAGGGUGCAAGCGUUAAUCGGAAUUACUGGGCGUAAAGCGCGCGUAGGUGGUUCGCCAAGUUGGAUGUGAAAUCCCCGGGCUCAACCUGGGAACUGCAUCCAAAACUGGCGAGCUAGAGUAUGGUAGAGGGUGGUGGAAUUUCCUGUGUAGCGGUGAAAUGCGUAGAUAUAGGAAGGAACAUCAGUGGCGAAGGCGACCACCUGGACUGAUACUGACACUGAGGUGCGAAAGCGUGGGGAGCAAACAGGAUUAGAGACCCGAGUAGUCCCUGUCUCUUCUAC
rnacentral:rRNA from 1 species